CACACUCGACUGUCUCUCACACUCACCCACGCACACGGCGCUACUCCUCUCCCUCUCUCAUAUCCGUCACCGCUGUGUUGUUUAGGGUUUGGUCUCCCCCUCUCUCUUCCUCUCACCGCCUCUCCUCCCUCACCGGCGAUCCUCCCUCACCACCGAUCCUCUCUCACCGCCGCUGCUGUUUAGGGUUUCACCUCCCUCUCUCUCACUCACACACGACGGGGCUGCUGCUCUCUCUGCUCCCUCAACGCCGCUCCUCCCUCACCCCCGAUCCUCCCUCACCGCCGCUCCUCCCUCGCUGCUCUCUCUGUUUAGAUUGUUGGUUUUUUUCACAAGGGCACACCGCAUGUUACCCUAGAUCCCUCCGGUUCACAUCUCAUCUCCAUUACUGAAAGCUCUUGACACUUUGUCUAACGCCACAAUUCACUAACAUGAGGAACAAAGAAAGUCAUGAGGUUGCCAUGGAGGCGAUUGGUUUGAUCGUGCUCUUUACAGCGAUCUUGCGCCUUGUCGCCCCACGUUUCGCGCCCUAUAUUGAUUAUGCUGGUUCACUAUUAAUAGCAAUUUGGUUCUUGGAGAUCACAACUAUGUUUCUCCCUGUCUCCUGGAUAAUCUUUCCGGCUGCUGCUGCUGUUCUCCUUGUGUACGCUUUUGUUCUGGCGUUCCUCAAACUAUGAUGACUUCGUUGCGUAGACUUGCAGAGUUAUUUUGGUGUAUGGAGAAGAAAUUGUACUUUUGUAUAGAAGUAAUCUAAUACUUUUGUGGUCUCCGAUUUUUGUGCAAUUAACUAUUCCUGAUACAUAAAACUUUUGACAGCGAACAGAUAAUUAUUGGCAUGGUAGAUAGAUCACCUUUUGACGCCGUACAGAUAUAUGAUUUUUUGUCGUGGUACAUAGAUGUAUUUUUGACUUGGUACAUACAUCAGCUUUUGUCGUGGUACAGAUUACGAUGGUAAUUUGUACCAUGUCAAAUGGUCAUUUCACAUGGUAUAGUAAAUGUAAUUUUUGUAUAUGGAGGGCUUUACUUUUUGUAUGAUUCUAUAUGUUGUAGAGAAUUAUUAUUUUAGUUUGGACAAUAGUUUUUGUUUGUACUUGGACAGUUAAAGUAAUUUAUUUUUUGUAUGCGGAUGCAUAUU